rnacentral:rRNA from 1 species
UACGAAGGGUGCAAGCGUUGUUCGGAAUAACUGGGCGUAAAGGGUUUGUAGGCAGAAAUGUAAGUCAAGUGUGAAAUCCCCGAGCUUAACUUGGGACGUGCAUUUGAAACUGUGUUUCUUGAGAAUUGGAGAGGGUGGUGGAAUUGUAGGUGUAGGAGUGACAUCCGUAGAGAUCUGCAGGAACAUCAGAGGCGAAAGCGACCACCUGGCCGAUGACUGACGCUGAGGAACGAAAGCGUGGGGAGCAAACAGG